rnacentral:rRNA from 1 species
UGAAGCGGGGCUUCGGCCCCGUGGAAACUGGCGCACGGGUGAGUAACGCGUGGGAAUCUACCCCGGGGUGGGGAAUAACCGCUGGAAACGGCGGCUAAUACCGCAUACGCCUUGCGAGGGAAAGCUUUAGCGCCCUGGGACGAGCCCGCGUCGGAUUAGCUUGUUGGUGAGGUAACGGCUCACCAAGGCUUCGAUCCGUAGCUGGUCUGAGAGGAUGAUCAGCCACACUGGGGCUGAGACACGGCCCAGACUCCUACGGGAGGCAGCAGUGGGGAAUAUUGGACAAUGGGGGCAACCCUGAUCCAGCCAUGCCGCGUGCGUGAAGAAGGCCUUAGGGUUGUAAAGCGCUUUCGGCGGGGAAGAUGAUGACGGUACCCGCAGAAGAAGCUCCGGCUAACUCCGUGCCAGCAGCCGCGGUAAUACGGAGGGGGCUAGCGUUGUUCGGAAUUACUGGGCGUAAAGGGCGCGUAGGCGGAUUGUCAAGUCAGAGGUGAAAGCCCUGGGCUCAACCUGGGAACUGCCUUUGAAACUAACGGUCUAGAGUCCGAGAGAGGAUGGCGGAAU